AAUACUUAACACAUGCAAGUUACAAAUUUGGAAAAUUAUUUAGCGUGCGGGUGAGUAUAAUUAAGAACUUAACUUAACUUAAAAAUUAUAUUUAAUAAAAAAAAAAAAAUAAAAAAAAAAUUUAAUAAUAUUUAUUUUAAGAAAGGCUAUAUUGAUUAGUUAUUUGAAAAACUAAAAAAUUUUCAAGACAUUUAUCAAAAAUUGAUUUUAUCGGAUGAUCAAUCACAUUGGGAAUUAAAAAUGACUCAAAUUCUUUUUUUUUAGAAGCAGCAGUGGGGAAUUUUUCGCAAUAAACGAAAGUUUGACGAAUUAAUUUUUAAUGAAAGAAGAAGGCUAAAGAGUCGUAAAUAUCUUUUAUUAUAUAAAAAGUAUUUUAUGAUAAUUAUAAUGAAUAAGUAUCGGCUAAUUCUGUGCCAGCAGCCGCGGUAAUACAGAAGAUACAAGUGUUAUUCCAAAAUUAUUAGGCGUAAAAUGUUCUAAAAUUGCUUUUUAAAUCGUAUAUUAAAAAUAAUAAAAUUAUAAAAAUAUUCGAAAUUUUUUAGCUAGAAUUUUAUUAAAAAAAAGAGAAAUUAACGUAGUGUAAUGGUAAAAUAUAUAUAGAUUAUUAGGAACUCCAAAAUCGAAAGAAUCUUUUUUGUAAAAAUUAACAUUCAACGACGAAAGUUGGGGUAUCAAACGGGAUUAGAUACCCCAAUAGUCCCAACUGUAAACAAUUAAUACUAAUUAUUUUUUUAUAAAAUAAAAUAUGCUAACGCUAAAGUAUUUUGCCUGAGAAGUAAAUUCGCAAGAAUAAAACUCAAAGGAAUUGACGGGAAUCUAUAAAAGCGAUGGAGUAUGUGGUUUAAUUCGAUGCAGAGCGUAAAAUCUUACCAGUAUUUGAAAUGUUUUAAUUUUUAUAUAAAAAAAAAAAUAUAUAUAUAUAUACACAGGUGGUGCAUGGCUGUCGUCAGUUCGUACCGUGAGGCGUUAGGUUAAUUCCUUUAACGAACGUAAACCAAAUAUUUUUUUUAUACUAAAUAAUAAAAAAUAAAAAAUAAUAGCGAUAAGCUAUAGGAAGAUAAGGAUAACGUCAAGUCAUUAUGCCCCUAAUAUUCUGGGCUACACACGUAGUACAAUGAAUUAGACAAAAUUAAUAAAUUCGUAAGAAUAUCAUAACAUAUAAACUUAUUCUAAGUUCAGAUUGAAGACUGAAACUCGUCUUCACGAAGUCGGAAUCGCUAGUAACGUCGGUAAUUAUACGACGGUGAAUUAUAAAAAUUUAGAUUUUGUACACACUGCCCGUCACAUUUUAAAAUUGAUGAUUAUUUAAAUUUAGAUUUUUUGAGUCUCUAUAAAAUAUAUUUUCAAAAUUAUAAUGAAGUCGUA
rnacentral:rRNA from 1 species